rnacentral:rRNA from 1 species
UACGUAGGGGGCCAGCGUUGUUCGGAAUUACUGGGCGUAAAGGGUUCGUAGGCGGUGCGGCAAGUUGGGAGUGAAAUCUCUGGGCUUAACCCAGAGACUGCUUUCAAAACUGCUGUGCUAGAGUGUGAGAGAGGCUCGUGGAAUUGCAGGUGUAGCGGUGAAAUGCGUAGAUAUCUGCAGGAACACCCGUGGCGAAAGCGGCGAGCUGGAUCACUACUGACGCUGAGGAACGAAAGCUAGGGGAG